AUACCCUAUUAUUUUUAAUGUAAAUUAUAAAUACUAAAGUAUUAUUAGAUAAGGUCUUUAAACUUAAAGAAUUUGGCGGUAUUAUAGUCUAUUUAGAGGAAUCUGUUAUGUAAUUGAUAGUCCACGUUGAACCUUACUUAUUUUAUUUCUUGUAUAUCGCUGUUUAAGAAUAUAUUUUUAGAUUAUUUUCUAGAUUAUUAAUUUUUUAAUAUUUCAAGUCAAGGUGCAGUUAUAAAUAAGUUGAGUAAUGGAUUACAAUAAAUUUUAUUUACAUGGAUUGUUAUUUAAAUAUAAUUUGAAGGUGGAUUUAUUUGUAAAUUUUUGAAGACUGUAGUUUUGAUUAAUGGCUCUAUAAUAUGUACACAUCGCCC
rnacentral:rRNA from 1 species